GACAAAAUAAAUAUGAUCUGUUAUGAAGUAGACAUUGUGAAUUUGUUUUCUUUUGUGACAAGAUAACACUGUUUUCUUUCCUGUAAAAGGCAUGUCUUGUAGCAAGGUAGCACUUACCUGGGAACCCAGGAGAACAGACACAGCAAUCAUGCAAUUUCCCUCAAGCCUUGCAAUUAUUGAGGAAUCUAUUCUGGUGAUUACAGUUUAUAUGUUGCUGCAAUGUGUACACGAAAAUCCUACCACUCUUUCUUAGUAAGAGAGUGAUGCAUGACAAAGCAUGCGAGCCAUACUUCAUUCUUCCACAGAGUCACAUCUACUAAAAACUGGAAAUAAAUAAAAGAGGUUAUUGUAUUCAUGUCUGAUGGUUGAUAUGCAUUUUAAUUGGUCCCUGUAAUCUCAUGUUGCAAAUGCUUUACAGACUCCUGGAGAAUGUUUAUCUCCUCUUAGGUGAGAUGGUAGACUAACUCCAACAUAAUACGGACAAGUCAUUUAGUGCUUGUUUUUACUAUUUUGUAAGGGAUUAGUUACUUGGAUGCAUAUUAUUGUUGCUAGAUCUCCGUUUGAAUUAUUAAUUACAAUUACAUCAUUAAAUUGUCUAAUAAACAUUGCCCUAUAAGUAGUUGGAUUAUCUUACUUGAUUUGUUCCAAUCUUGCAGCAUUUCUGUGUUAUUCACCAAACUAAGAAGUUAUUGCAAAU